rnacentral:tRNA from 1 species
GGUUAGAAAGCGAAAAAUUGCACUUAGUUUCGACCUAAGCCUUGGCCAAUUUCGGCCUCUAAUUU